rnacentral:rRNA from 1 species
AGUGAACGCUGGCGGUAGGCCUAACACAUGCAAGUCGAACGGCAGCACAGUAAGAGCUUGCUCUUACGGGUGGCGAGUGGCGGACGGGUGAGGAAUACAUCGGAAUCUACUUUUUCGUGGGGGAUAACGUAGGGAAACUUACGCUAAUACCGCAUACGACCUACGGGUGAAAGCAGGGGAUCUUCGGACCUUGCGCGAUUGAAUGAGCCGAUGUCGGAUUAGCUAGUUGGCGGGGUAAAGGCCCACCAAGGCGACGAUCCGUAGCUGGUCUGAGAGGAUGAUCAGCCACACUGGAACUGAGACACGGGCCAGACUCCUACGGGAGGCAGCAGUGGGGAAUAUUGGACAAUGGGCGCAAGCCUGAUCCAGCCAUACCGCGUGGGUGAAGAAGGCCUUCGGGUUGUAAAGCCCUUUUGUUGGGAAAGAAAAGCAGCAGGUUAAUACCCCGCUGUUCUGACGGGACCCAAAGAAUAAGCACCGGCUAACUGCGU